rnacentral:rRNA from 1 species
UACGUAGGGGGCAAGCGUUGUCCGGAAUUACUGGGCGUAAAGCGUGUGUAGGCGGCUUUGCAAGUCGGAUGUGAAAGCCCUGGGCUCAACCCAGGAAGUGCACUCGAUACUGCAGGGCUUGAGUAUCGGAGAGGUUGGUAGAAUUCUCGGUGUAGAGGUGAAAUUCGUAGAUAUCGAGAGGAAUACCGGCGGCGAAGGCGGCCAACUGGACGAAUACUGACGCUGAGACACGAAAGCGUGGGGAGCAAACAGG